CAGGUAAAACCCUCUGAGUCUCAACUAGCAAAAUCAAGAGAGCCGCAGGCUCAGUCAGUACCUAUCAGCUCUAAUUUCUCUUUUAUCUUUCCCCCUAAUCCAGACAAGUCUUACAUGUUUUCUGCUCCAUUCUUUGGGUCAAGAAUACACUGGUUAAUAGCCAAUUAUUUCAUACCCUAAGGAAGUUUUGGGAAAGAAGUUCCUGGGGAGACUCAACUUGUUUUAGGAAAUCAGGCUAAUAUUCAGUAGAGAACCCAGACCUUUUUCCCUGAAUGCUGGAGGAAUCAAAACAAAAAGCAGCAGCAUCUUUGCUCACAGCUUCUGCCUUUGUAUGCUUGCUCUGUUGGGCUGAAAAGUUAUUACAGGAACUGCCCUGGGCCACCAGUUGCAAACCCGUCAAAACUUCAAAGGAAAACACAAAGAAGGAAACAUGGGACAGCCUCCUGCUCCCCUCCCACCCCCUGUAAUGUCAUGAGUAUUUUCAACAAGCAAAAUUGACCUGCACAUUCCACUCAUAGCUAAUCAUCAUAAGAGAAACUACAGUGAAUUCAUCAUUUUCCUGGAAGUUUGCAGCACAUAAGUAUCACUUGUAUCUAUGCUCUUUCAUAUACCAGCUCUCAAACAACCACUCACCACUGAGAUAUUCCAUUAGUGUCAUGCUGGGAAUGGAAUGUUUCUAGAUUUUAUAACUUGACUUUGAAACAGAGCUUCAUAGCAGUCUUACUCUCAAGAUUACAGUUCAUCUCACAGUCAGAAGGAAGAGUGGAUGUGAUGCAUUCCAGCAUUUCCCCUGCCUAUGCGGUUAAGCUAGCUGCUGGGUGACACCAGGCUGCCUUGAUCCUGAGUGUACAGUGAAAUAGUCAAUACAGUCAGAGCAGGGUACAAAUUAUGGCUCAGUCAGUGUUUCUUCCUCUGCUCAUUGCUUGCAUAAGUAGCAAGUAACUUCACACUUGCUUGUUAAAUAGCUUACUUCCUUAUAAUGGACACAAGGAAGGAAUUUUCCAACUUUUUCAUCCUUUGACCUCUCUCCUAUCUGAGCUUGUCUAUGUCAGAUGGGCUCAGUGACAGUAUGCCUAAGAAAGGCAAUUUCUCUCCAAUAAACACCUCUUUGUUCUGCCAAAUGGGUUAUAAGAACGCACUCCAAAAUGAAUAAUAAGUGGCUAUAAUAAUUAUUUGAAUGUUUACCUAUUCUUAUUUGAGGGGGUAAAGAUACUCUUUUUAAAAUUCUGAAUGCACAGAAGGGCAAUAUUGAUAACCGUUUCCUCUCUGAAGUGCCGUACUUCCUUUUUAGAGCUCAAUUUCAGAUUUCAGUGAAGCAUAGGACUACUAAUCUCUGAUCAAAAGGGUGAGAGUCAAAUCAGAAUCUGGAUUUCAGUCUUAUUUCUUCAUUUUUACAUGUGGAAGAUGAUGCAUUGUUGUUCAUCGCUUUGUGGUCAGUCUUAAAGGGGAAUGGUGACCUUACAUCAUUUGAUUAAUGCUCCAGUUAUUACGGGUUUACAGAUCAGCAUUUGUCUCCAUUCCCUGUGACCACUGAGUCAGACACCUUAUAUUUUUUGAACUUUGUACCUUUUUUUUUUUUCAUUUUCAGUAGAAUCUUCUGUCAGGAGUGGGGUUAAUUAACUUCAAAGGGACUGACUGUGGAGAGCAGUGAUUGACUGGGGGGGGGGGGAUGUAGUUGGUAUGGAGACAGGGAGAGCAGCAGGGCUAUGGGGCUGUAAUAUGAUGUAGGCAGAAAGGAUGAACUGACUGCUGAACAAGAAGGAGAGGCUAACGCUCACUGAACUACUAAGUAAAUCUGUGCUGAGGACCAGGGUAAGAUGAAUAAAGAGCAAUGCCUUUAUCAACAUUUUCCUUUUUUAAACAUGCACCCAUUUGCUCUUAUUCACACAACGGUAUAAUGGAUCACAGUGCCAGCACUGAAAGGAAAAGCAGUAGCAGUGCAGGCUAUCAUUAGUUGCCAUUGUUUCCAAAGACUUUUGUAUAUUCUGGUAAGAAACAGAGUGAGCUGCCUGCCCUCAGAAAUGGCUUCUUGAGACAACUCAGAAAUCAGUUAUAUCAGAUAACACUCUGCAAUGAGUUUCAUUGAAUUUAUGUGAGAGCAAGGUCGCAUUUAAGAUGGUUAAUGUUAGCAGAGUGUUGUCCAUGGUAAAUAGAAGGUGGUCUAUUCUUAUUAAUAAU